CUAAGGCUGAUGGCGACCGGCGCACGGGUGAGUAACACGUAUCCAACCUGCCGAUAACUCGGGGAUAGCCUUUCGAAAGAAAGAUUAAUACCCGAUGGCAUAAUAGAACCGCAUGGUUUGAUUAUUAAAGAAUUUCGGUUAUCGAUGGGGAUGCGUUCCAUUAGGCAGUUGGUGGGGUAACGGCCCACCAAACCUUCGAUGGAUAGGGGUUCUGAGAGGAAGGUCCCCCACAUUGGAACUGAGACACGGUCCAGACUCCUACGGGAGGCAGCAUG
rnacentral:rRNA from 1 species